CCACCCAAGCUCCCUGCUCAGCAGGGAGUCUGCUUCUCCCUCUGACCCUCUCACCUCUCAUGUUCACUCUCUCUCUCAUUCUCUCUCUCAAAUAAAUAAAUAAAAUCAUAAAAAAAAAAAAAAAGCUGCAGCCUGAGAGUCUGGCUCCCAAUCAGCCUAAAACUAAGAGCUGACUGAGAUCCCACUCUUGGGAACAAUAACAGGUCUUGGCACAUUCUCAAUGACUGGAGCCUAUCAAGAAUAAAUCAGGCUGCUUAGACAAUUGUAGAGAUUCAAGAAACAACCAAGAGUUAGGGCAAAGUUGAACGACAAGGUUCAUCUCCUACAUAAGGUCAUUCCUUCAAGGCAGAGAGGGGUAGCCAUUUCUCCUAACAUGCAGAAACAAACAUAAAAAGUCAUGUAACGUGAGGAAAUAGAGGAAUAUGUUCCAAAGGAAAGAACAAGAUAAAACCUCAGAAAAAAAAAUUAAUGAAAUGGAAUUAAGUAAUUUACCUGUUAAAGAGUUUAAAGGAAUAGUGAUAAAUUUGCUCACCAAACUUGGGAGAAUGGGUGAAUGUAGUGAGAAAUUCAACAAAGAGAUAAAAGAUAUAAGGAAGUACCAAACAGUAGUCACAGAGCUGAAGAAUACAAAAACAGAACUGGAAAACGUACUAGAGGCAUUCAACAGCAGACAAGACAAAACAAGAAAGAAUGAGUGAGCUAGAAUACAGUGCAGUGGAACUCACCCAGAGUGGCAUAUAGAAAAAAAGAAUUUUAAAAAGUUAAUAUAACUUAAGGUACCUUGAGACAGUAUCAAGUAGAAUAACAUUCACAUUAUAGAGGUCCAAAAGAAGAGAGAGAGAAAGGGGCAGAAAAAUUAUUUUAAGAAAUAAUGGCAGAAAACUAACCUAACCUGGAGAAGGAAAUAAACAUCCAGAUCCAGGAAUCCCAGAGAGUUACAAAUAAAAUGAACUCAAAGAUAUUCACAAUAAGACACAUUAUAAUUAAAAUGUCAAAAGUAAAGAUAAAGAAUCUUAAAAGCAAUAAGAAAAAACAUGUUUUAUGUACAAGUGAACUCCCAUAAGAAUCUCAGCAGGUUUUUCAGUAGAAACUUUGCAGACCAGAAGAAAGGGUCAUGGUAUAUUCAAAAUGCUGAGAGGAAAAAACUUCUAACCAAGAAUACUUUAUCUGGGAAGAUCAUCAUGUAGAAUUAAAGGAGAAAUAGUUUUCCAGGUAAGCAGAAACUAAAGGAGUUCAUCACCAUUAAACUGGUCUUAUACGAAAUGUUACAAGGACUUCUUUAACCUGAAAAGAAAGGGCGCUAAUUAGUAACAAGAAAACAUGAAAGUACAAAUCUCACUGGUAAUGGUAAAUAUAUAGGAAAUAUGGUAGAAUAAUCACUUAUAAAGCUAGCGUGAAGGUUAAAAGACAAAAGUAAUAAAAACUGCAACAAUUAUUUAAAGGACAUAUAAAGUAAAAGAUGUAAAAUGUGACAAUAAAAACAUAAAAUGGGAGUGAGUGUGAGAAAGUCAAGUUUUAGAAUGCAUUCAUAUUUAAGUUGUUAUCAACUUAAAAUAGACUGUUAGAUAUAUAGGAUGUUGUGAGAGCCCCAUGUACUGACAAAGCAAGCAACUAGAGCAGAUACACAAAAGAUAAUGAGAGAAGAAUCUAAACAUGGCAUUAAAGAAAGGCAUCAGACCACAAGGGAAUAGAGAAAGAAAGGAACAGAGAAGAACUACUAAACAAUUGAAAAACAAUUAACAAAAUGACAAUAAGUACAUACCUAUCAAUAAUUACUUUAAAUGUAAAUGGACUAAAUAUUCCAAUCAAAAGAUGUGGAGUAGAUGAACAGAUAAAUGAAAACAAGACCCAUAUAUACACUGUCUCCCAUUCAAGUAUUAACCAGGCCCGACCCUGCUUAGCUUCCGAGAUCAGACGAGAUCGGGUGCGUUCAGGGUGGUAUGGCCGUAGACGACCCAUAUAUAUACUGUCUAAAAGAGACUCACCUAAGAUGUAAGAACACACUGAGACUGAAAGUGAAGGGAUGCAAAGCAAUAUUUUAUGCUAAUGGAAACCAAAAGAAAGCUGGGAUACCUAUACUUAUCAGACAAAAGAGAUUAAAAUGAAGACUGUAGUAAAAGACAAAUAAGGGCAUUAAAUGGUGGUAAAGGAGUCAGUCCAACAAGAGGCUAUAACAUGAAAUAUUUAUGCACCCAACAUACUUAGCACUUGAGUCUAUAGAGUAAACAGUAACAGACCUAAAGGAAGAAAUAGACAGCAAUACAAAAUAUAAUAAUAGCAGAGGACUUUAAUACCCUACUUAUGGGUGGCUCAGUUGUUGAGCAUCUGCUUCGGUUCAGGUCAUGAUCCUGUGGUCCUGGGAUCAAGACCUGCAUUGGGCUCCCUGCUCAGCCAGGAGCCUGCUUCCUCUCCCAUUCCUUCUGCUUGUGUUCCCUCUCUAGCUGUGUGUCUCUCUUUCUCUCUCUGUCAAAUAAAUAAAUAAUUAAAAAAAAAAAUACCCUACUUACACCAGUGAAUAGGUCAUUAAGACAGAAAAUCAGUAAGGAAAUAUUGGCCUUGACACAUCAGACUGACAGACUUAAUAGAUAUAUACAGAAUAUUCCAUCCAAAGAAGCAAGUUGUAUAUUCUCAAGUGCACCUGGGACAUUCUCCAGGGUAGAGUACAUGUUACAUGCUUAAGUAUGUCAAAUCUCAAUAAAUUUAAGAAGACUGAAAUCAUAUCAAGCAUAUUUUCCAACCACAAUGAUCUGAAACUAGAGAGCAAUUACAAGAAGAAAAAUGGAAAAAUCACAAAUAUGUGGUUAUUAGACAAUAUUCUACUCCAUAACCAAUGGGUCAAUGAAGAAAUCAAAGGUGAAAUAAAAAAAAAUACUUUGAGACAAAUUACAAUAGAGAUAUAAUAAUCCAAAAUCUGUGGGAUGUAGCAAAAGCAGUUCUAAGAGGGAUGUUCAUAGUGAUACAGUUUUACCUCAUCCAAACUCAUUUUAUGAGGCCAGCAUUACCCUGAUACCAAAACUAAAGAUACCACGUAUAUAAAGGAAGGGAGGGAGGGAGGAAAGGGAGAGUGAAGAAAGGAAGGGGAGGAGAGAGGAGAGGAGAAAAAAUUACAGGCCAAUAUUCCUGACGAACAUAUAUGCAAAAAUCCCCAACGAAAUAUUAGAAAGCUUAAUUAAACAAUACAUUAAAAUGAUCAUACAGCAUGGUCAAGUGGGAUUUAUUCCAGGGAUGCAAGAAUAGUUCUACAUCCACAAACCAAUGUGAUACAACAGAUUAACAAAACAAAACGUAAAAAUUACAUGAUCAUCUCAAUAAAUGGAAAAAAAGCAUUUGACAAAAUUCAGCAUCCAUUUAUGACCAAAAACUUUCAACAAGGUGAGUAUAGAUGGAACAUACCUCAACAUAAUGAAAGCCAUAUAUCAUAAGCCCACAGCUAACAUCAUACUCAAUGGUGAAAAGCUGAAAGCUUUUUCUCCAAGAUCAGGAACAAGACAAGGAUGCCCACCUUUGCCACUUUUAUUCAACAUAGUAUUGGAAGUUUUAGCCACAGCAGUUAAGCAGGAAAAAGAAGUAAAAUGUAUUCAAAGUGAAAAGGAAGAAAUAAAAUUGUCAUUAUUUUUGGACAACAUGAUUUUAUAUAGAAUUUAUAUUUAUUUUCUAUAUGGAAUUUAUAGAGAAAACUCUAAAGACUACCCUAAGACUGUUAGAACUAAGAAACAGGGACGCCUGGGUGGCUUAGUCAGUUAAGUGGCUGCCUUCAGCUCAGGUCGUGAUCUCAGGGUUCUGAGAUUGAGUCCCACAUUGGACUCCUUGCUCACUAGGGAGCCUGCUUCUCCCUCUGCCUGCUCUGCCCGCUGCUUCCCCUACUUGUGCUCUCUCUCUCUCUGACAAAUAAAUAAAUAAAAUCUUUAAAAAAAAAAGAACUAAGGGCGCCUGGGUGGCUCAGUUGGUUAAGCGACUGCUUUCGGCUCAGGUCAUGAUCCUGGAGUCCCGGGAUCGAGUCCCGCAUCGGGCUCCCUGCUCGGCAGGGAGUCUGCUUCUCCCUCUCCCACUCCCCGUUUGUGUUCCCUCUCUCGCUGUGUCUCUCUCUGUCAAAUAAAUAAAUAAAAUCUUUAAAAAAAAAAAAAAAAGAACUAAGAAACAUUUAAUAAACUUGUAGUGUACAAAAUAAAUCUACAAAAACCUGUUGCAUUUGUAUAUACUAACAAUGAACUAUCAGAAAGAGAAAUCUAAAAAACAGUUCCAUUUACAAUUUCAUCAAAAAGAGUGAAAUACCUAGUAAUAAAUUUAACCAAGGAGGUGAAAAACCUGUGCUCUGAAAACUAUAAAAUACUGAUGAAGGAUACUGAAGAAGACACAAAUAAAUGGAAAGAUAUUCCAUGCUCAUGGAUUGGAAAAAUUAAUUUUGUUAAAAUAUACUACCCAAAGCAAUCUACAGAUUCAUUAAAAUCUCUAUCAAAAUUCCAAUGAAGGGUACCUGGGUGGCUCAGUCAUUAAGCAUCUGCCUUCAGCUCAGGUCAUGAUCCCAGGGUCCUGGGAUAGAGCCCUGCAUUGGGCUCCCUGCUUAUCGGGAAGCCUCCUUCUCCCUCUCCCACUCCCCCUGCUUGUGUUCCCUCUCUUGCUCUCUCUCUCCCUCUUUCUCUGUGUCAAAAUAAAUAAAUAAAUAAAUAAACCUUAAUUAAAAAAAAAUUCCAAUGACAUUUUCACCAAAAUAUCACAAACAGACCAAAAACUUGUGUGAAACCACAAAAGAACUCCAAUAGCCAAAACAGUCUUCAGAAAGAAAAACAACACCAGAGGCAUCAUGCUCCCUGAUUUCAAAUUAUAUUGCAAAGCUAUGUUAAUCAGAAUACUGGGGUAUUGGUAUAAAAAUAGACAGAUGAAUGGAACAGAAUAGAAAACCCAGAAAUAAACCCUUGUAUAUAUUGUCAAUUUUCAAAAAUUUACAACAAAGUAAUGGGGAAAGGACAGUCUCUUCAAUAAAUGGUGUUAGAAAAACUAGAUAGCUACGUGCAAAAGAAUGAAUCUGGACCACUCCCUUACAACAUACACAAAAAUUUAUUCAAAAUCGAUUGAAAACUUGAACAUGGGGCUUGAAAUCAUAAAACUUCUAAAAGAAAAUAUAAGCCUGAAGUUCCUUAACAAUGGUCUUGAUGAUGAUUUUUUUAGAUCUGACUCCAAAAGCAAAGGCAACAAAAGCAAAAAUAAACAAAUGGGACUACAUCAAACUAAAAAG